rnacentral:rRNA from 1 species
GGANUGCNAAUGGGGGAACCCUGAUGCAGCGACGCCGCGUGAGCGAUGAAGCCCUUCGGGGUGUAAAGCUCUUUCGGCAGGAACGAUUAUGACGGUACCUGCAGAAGAAGCUGCGGCUAACUACGUGCCAGCAGCCGCGGUAAUACGUAGGCAGCAAGCGUUGUUCGGAAUUACUGGGCGUAAAGAGUGUGUAGGCGGUUGUCUAAGUUUGGUGUGAAAUCUCCCGGCUCAACUGGGAGGGUGCGCCGAAAACUGGACGGCUGGAGUAUGGGAGAGGAAAGCGGAAUUCCUGGUGUAGCGGUGAAAUGCGUAGAUAUCAGGAGGAACACCUGCGGUGUAGACGGCUUUCUGGACCAUCACUGACGCUGAGACACGAAAGCGUGGGUAGCAAACAGGAUUAGAUACCCUGGUAGUCCACGCCCUAAACGAUGCACAUUUGGUGUGGGUCAUUCAGUUGAUCUGUGCCGGAGCUAACGCGUUAAAUGUGCCGCCUGGGGAGUACGGUCGCAAGGCUGAAACUCAAAAAAAUUGACGGA